UACGGAGGAUCCGAGCGUUAUCCGGAUUUAUUGGGUUUAAAGGGUGCGUAGGCGGACUAAUAAGUCAGUGGUGAAAGUUUGCAGCUUAACUGUAAAAUUGCCGUUGAAACUGUUAGUCUUGAGUGCAAGUGAGGUAAGCGGAAUGUGUAAUGUAGCGGUGAAAUGCUUAGAUAUUACACAGAACACCAAUUGCGAAGGCAGCUUACUGGUAUGUAACUGACGCUGAGGCACGAAAGCGUGGGGAUCAAACAGGAUUAGAUACCCUGGUAGUCCACGCAGUAAACGAUGAAUACUAGUUGUUUGCGAUAUACAGUAAGUAACACAGCGAAAGCGUUAAGUAUUCCACCUGGGGAGUACGUUCGCAAGAAUGAA
rnacentral:rRNA from 1 species